CCUCCAUUUCUUGGCAUUCACGUGGUUGUCAGUACUCGUGGGAUGCAUACACGGAGGAAAAAUAAAUGCAGCGCUAUGUCUUCGGUACCGGUGUGUGUUAUCGUCUGCCGGUUCUAUCCUCAAUCGCUGUAACAUUC
ensembl:snoRNA